rnacentral:misc_RNA from 1 species
AAGUCGUAACAAGGUCUCCGUUGGUGAACCAGCGGAGGGAUCAUUAAUGAGUUGCAAAACUCCAACCAUCGCGAAUGUAACCUAUUGCAGUUUCUUCGGCGGGUGGCCCUGAGAUGGGCUGCGCACCCCGUGGGUCACGGGGGGUAUACCCGCCGGAGUCGUACAAACUCUUGUAUUUGUUGGCAUCUCUGAGUAACUUUUACAAUAAGUUAAAACUUUCAACAACGGAUCUCUUGGUUCUG